UCUGCCCAUGCGGGGAAGGAUGAGAAGCUUCGACCAAGGUUCGACUCGAGCGCCAGCGAGAGAGCGUUGCCGCAGGCAACGACCCGAAGGGCGAAGCGCGCAGCGCUGAGUAAUCCUUCCCCCACCACCA
rnacentral:sRNA from 1 species